rnacentral:rRNA from 1 species
UAGGGAAUCUUCCGCAAUGGACGAAAGUCUGACGGAGCAACGCCGCGUGAGUGAUGAAGGUUUUCGGAUCGUAAAGCUCUGUUGCCAGGGAAGAAUGCUUGGGAGAGUAACUGCUCCCAAGGUGACGGUACCUGAGAAGAAAGCCCCGGCUAACUACGUGC